UACAGGUACUCCUGAAAAUGCUUCCAGACUAUCACCAUCAUGUGAGGUCGUAUGAAAAUACACUCAUAACAAAAUUUUUUGGUCUUCAUAGGAUCAAACCUUCAAGUGGUCAAAAGAAUUGAGGAUCCACCGAAGAUUCGAUUUGAAAGGUUCAUCACUAGGUCGAUCUACAGACAAAAUUGAAAUUGAUGAAAACACGACACUGAAGGAUUUGGAUCUAAACUAUUGCUUCUAUUUGGAACCUUCAUGGCGUGAAGCUUUAUUAAAGCAGAUUGAGACUGACAGUAAAUUUUUGGAAGCACAACACAUCAUGGAUUACAGCCUUUUGCUGGGUGUGCAUUAUCGAGCCCCCCAACGCCUGCGAUCUCUAAUGUCCUACAAUCGAAGCAUAAGAGCUGAAGGGCUGGGAGUGUUGGCAGAGGACGGUGGGUGUCUUAUUUGAUAUAUUAUUUCUGUCGGUAGGUCACGUUGGGCUGCUUUCUGUGUUUUCUAUGUGGUUUUUUUGCUUUAUGUAGUUGUUUAUCAUAUCAUUGUCAACAAUGAACCAAAUUUAUGGCACCUUAUGCAUGAAAUUGGUUGCAUUUGAUCUGAGUGUUAAUCUGACCUGACCUUACCAAUCUCCCCUUUUUAAAGCUUACAUCAUCUGGUAUGUGGUUUUUUCGCUUUAUGUUGUUGUUUUUCAUAUCAUGGGUCAACAAUGAACAAAAUAUAUCACACCUUACGCGUGAAAUUUAUUCAAUUUUUUCUGAGCAGUAAUCUGACCUGACCUUACAAAUCUCUCCUUUUCAAAGCUGGCUACAAUUAUCAUGAUUGUAUUCUAAUUUUGAAUAUUUGUUGCUGAUGUUUUACUGGCAGAUACCAUAGAAGAUGAACACUACCCACAAGGUCUUGUUUUGGUCCCCCGUGGAACAGAUGAUAAUAGUGUUGUUGUGGGUUCUCACAUUAGAGGUAGCCGAUUGCGAGCAUCAUCUGCUGGUGAUGAGGAAGUGGAUCUCCUUCUUCCUGGUACAGCAAGGCUUCAAAUCCAGCUUGGUGUGAACAUGCCUGCAAGGGCAGAGCAGAUUCCAGGGAAAGAGGAAAAACAGACAUUUCACGAAGUAUACGACGUUGUUCUUUAUCUUGGCAUAAUUGAUAUACUUCAGGAGUACAAUAUGAGUAAGAAGAUAGAACAUGCAUACAAAUCUCUUCAGUUCGAUUCCUUGUCCAUCUCCGCUGUGGAUCCUACAUUUUACUCCAGCCGUUUCCUUGAGUUCAUCCAUGGGGUGUUUCCCCCUAAUGCCUUGGCAGGUUAAAAAAAAAAUGAUAAUAAUAAUUUUUAUUUUGAUACAUUCACAACACCUUGUAAGCCUUUUAUGUUAUGAGAUUUCCACGUGCUUGGAUGCUUUAGAACUAUUUUUCAAAUAUCUCAUGAUUUAUUACGAGAAAUUCUUGUACAAAUGUCUACGGCAGCUUUUACAAUAUCGUUGCUUUAUUUCUUGUUCCAUUGUUGUCGUAGAGGAGAAUGUUAGCGAGCAGACCAAGUAGAAGAGACGACUAGGUGGCAAAACAGCGUAUGAAAAUCCUAUAUUAGGUAUAGUCCCAGAAUGAAUAUCUGAA
rnacentral:misc_RNA from 1 species